rnacentral:rRNA from 1 species
CCAACAGGGAUUGCCUUAGUAACGGCGAGUGAAGCGGCAACAGCUCAAAUUUGAAAGCUGGCUCCUUUGGAGUCCGCGUUGUAAUUUGUAGAGGAUGAUUCGGCAAGGGCUCCCGCCUAAGUCUCCUGGAACGGAGCGUCAUAGAGGGUGAGAAUCCCGUAUGCGGUGGGCUGCCUAAGCCAUGUGAAUCUCCUUCGACGAGUCGAGUUGUUUGGGAAUGCAGCUCUAAAUGGGAGGUAAAUUUCUUCUAAAGCUAAAUACCGGCCAGAGACCGAUAGCGCACAAGUAGAGUGAUCGAAAGAUGAAAAGCACUUUGGAAAGAGAGUUAAAAAGUACGUGAAAUUGUUGAAAGGGAAGCGCUUGCAGCCAGACUUGUCCGCAGUUGCUCAGCCGGUCUCCUGACCGGUGUACUCUUCUGCGGCCAGGCCAGCAUCAGUUCGGGCGGUCGGAUAAAGACCUCGGGAAUGUAGCUCCUCUCGGGGAGUGUUAUAGCCCGGGGUGGAAUGCGGCCAGCCUGGACUGAGGAUCUCGCUUCGGCUAGGAUGCUGGCGUAAUGGCUGUAAGCGGCCCGUCUUGAAACACGGACC